rnacentral:rRNA from 2 species
UGACCUCAAAUCAGGCGGGACUACCCGCUGAACUUAA